UCUCCUCAGGAGCCUCCACAGGUUUCUCUUCAGGAGCCUCCACAGGUUUCUCUUCAAGAGCCUCCACAGGUUUUACCUCAGGAGCCUCCACAGGUUUCUCUUCAAGAGCCUCCACAGGUUUCUCUUCAGGAGCCUCCACA